rnacentral:lncRNA from 1 species
UUAGAAGAGGUGGUGGUGUUUUCCUCCUUCAGCUUCCUUUUGCUCUUUCUUGGCAUCCUUCUUAUCAUGGUGUUCAUGGAAUGCAAAUCCACCUGCCCCAACUGCAGCAGCAGCUGCUAUCUCUUCCUCUAUCUUGUGUUUGUGUGCAUGCUCUGGAUCUUUCUUUGCCUUGUGCUUCUCAUGCUAAAAUAUUUUAUCAAAAUAAAAGAAGAGUAAGAAAAUUGAAGAAAUAAACUCAAUCAAGAUAAUUGAAGAGGAGCCCUGGAGCACCGGGUAAGGUUGUCUCCCUGUGAUCUAUAGGUCACGGGUUCAAGCCGUAUAAGCAGUCAUUAAUAUUUGCAUUAGUGGUGGACUAUCUACAUCACGCCUUUUGGGGUUCAGCCGUUUCUUGAACCCUGCGCAAAUGCGAGAUGCUUUGUAUACAAGGAAACCCUGCACAAAUACGUGAUGCUUUGUGUACAAGGGACAAAUAUACUUCUUUUAAGGAGCAUAUAUAGCGCAAUUCCAUAUAAGGUAUUGUAACAUUUUUGCUAAUAUCCACGUCUAGCGAACAAAAGUGAAAAACAAAAAGAAAUUCUCUUACUCCUUGUAAAACUAAUUAAAGUGAAAAUUCAUAACCUAGCUAUUCAAUACCUAUGUGAACCUAUCUCAACUAGGAAAUUUAUGUUAGUUUAUAAAUUAAAUAAAAAGAUAUACGUACCAGGGCAAAAGCACCAGCAGCAGCAGCACCAAGUUCACCAACUUUCUCGAGAUGACUGUGGUGCUUGACUUCUUUUUCAUAAUCGACAGGACCCUCUUCCUCCUCCUUGUUCUUAUGGUGGAACAGAUGAUGGUGCUUCUCUUCGGCCAUGGCGCUAGUGGUUUUGAAGACUGUCAAAAUGUGACUAUGACUUUACGAAAAAUGGCAAUUCG